rnacentral:lncRNA from 1 species
GGUUAACAUCUACCACAUCUGGAUGGCCUAGAAGAAAGAAAUUUUUCUGAUUUCUUGGUUUAUCCUUCUUCUCCAGGAUCACAGGAAUGAUUCACACAUAAUCAGCCUGACAGAUGAAGAGAGAUUCCACUAUACAACACUGUGAUUCGACGGGGGAGAGACAAAGAAGACCACUCACUCUGUCAUCUUGGUCCCGCCACCCUUAGGCCACUUUUUAAAGACACCCCGCCAUAGAUUGCCUGAAGAUUUCUCCGUGACUACAUAGAAGUCACUAUUUUCCAGGGAAGAGUGUAAGGAAAUAAGGCAUCAAUCAGGGCAUUCCCAGGGAGGUCAGCUGUGGGAAUGUCUCUGUGAUGCAGCCUGGG